GGUUACUGCUAUCGGUGUUCGCCUAAGCCAUGCGAGUCAUAUGUUCUUCGGAACAUGGCGUACUGCUCAGUAACACGUGGAUAACCUGCCCUUGGGUCCGGCAUAACCCCGGGAAACUGGGGAUAAUUCCGGAUAACGCACACAUGCUGGAAUGCUUUAUGCGUCAAAUGGAUUCGUCCGCCCAAGGAUGGGUCUGCGGCCUAUCAGGUAGUAGUGGGUGUAAUGUACCUACUAGCCUACGACGGGUACGGGUUGUGAGAGCAAGAGCCCGGAGAUGGAUUCUGAGACAUGAAUCCAGGCCCUACGGGGCGCAGCAGGCGCGAAAACUUUACAAUGCGGGAAACCGUGAUAAGGGGACACCGAGUGCCAGCAUCAUAUGCUGGCUGUCCGGGUGUGUAAAAUACACCUGUUAGCAAGGGCCGGGCGAGACCGGUGCCAGCCGCCGCGGUAACACCGGCGGCCCGAGUGGUGAUCGUGAUUAUUGGGUCUAAAGGGUCCGUAGCCGGUUUGGUCAGUCCUCCGGGAAAUCUGACGGCUUAGCCGUUAGGCUUUCGGGGGAUACUGCCAGACUUGGAACCGGGAGAGGUAAGAGGUACUACAGGGGUAGGAGUGAAAUCUUGUAAUCCCUGUGGGACCACCUGUGGCGAAGGCGUCUUACCAGAACGGGUUCGACGGUGAGGGACGAAAGCUGGGGGCACGAACCGGAUUAGAUACCCGGGUAGUCCCAGCCGUAAACGAUGCUCGCUAGGUGUCAGGCAUGGCGCGACCGUGUCUGGUGCCGCAGGGAAGCCGUGAAGCGAGCCACCUGGGAAGUACGGCCGCAAGGCUGAAACUUAA
rnacentral:rRNA from 1 species